rnacentral:lncRNA from 1 species
UCACUGAUCUCCCCCUACCCUCGCUGAAGGCCCUGCUCCCACGCCGGCUUCCUAGGGGUAGAGGUUUUUGGUGAAGCAGCGGAAAAUAGAGUCAAGAAUUCGAAUGUGAAUUCAUAAUUGAAAUUGCAAAUGAAGGAAAUUGUUGAUGAAGGAAAUCAGAAAAUCAAAAAUUGCAAAUCCGAAAUUCUUGAGUCCAGCCACCUUCUAGGGCUUUGUUCUGAAAUUUCAAACGAAAUUGCAAAUCGAAAAUUGCAAAUCGAAUAUCGCAGGACUCAUUUCUAGGGCACUGUUCAGAAAGGACUUGUGUGCAAAUCGAAGAAGACGAAGCUCUGGAUACCGUCUGUAGGGGGAAGAAGACAAAGCUCUCCGGUGGCGCCAUUGUUGGGUUGCUUCUCUUGUUGUUGCUACUGCUUGUCUUGUGUAGGAAGCAGAGUGGGAAGAAGGUGAGCUCAGUCGAUGUCGCAGCGGGGUUGGAGAAGACGCAGCGGUGCAAGAGGUUGGAGAAGACACCGUCGCCGCCGCCGGUGGCUGGAGAAGAUGCAGGGGCGCGCAGGGGGGUGGUUAGGGAGGGGGAGGGUCUGCGACUCUGCGCAAUGGGUGGGGAGGGG